rnacentral:rRNA from 1 species
UACGUAGGGGGCAAGCGUUGUCCGGAUUUAUUGGGCGUAAAGAGCGUGUAGGCGGCUAGGUAGGUCCGUUGUGAAAACUCGAGGCUCAACCUCGAGCUGUCGAUGGAAACCAUCUGGCUAGAGUCCGGAAAAGGAGAGUGGAAUUCCUGGUGUAGCGGUGAAAUGCGCAGAUAUCAGGAAGAACACCCGUGGCGAAGGCGGCUCUCUGGUACGUGACUGACGCUGAGACGCGAAAGCGUGGGGAGCGAACAGG